rnacentral:rRNA from 1 species
UACGAAGGGUGCAAGCGUUACUCGGAAUUACUGGGCGUAAAGCGUGCGUAGGUGGUGAGUUAAGUCUGUCGUGAAAGCCCCGGGCUCAACCUGGGAAUGGCGAUGGAUACUGGCUCGCUAGAGUGCGGUAGAGGAGAGUGGAAUUCCCGGUGUAGCAGUGAAAUGCGUAGAGAUCGGGAGGAACACCAAUGGCGAAGGCAGCUUGCUGGGACGGUACUGACGCUGAGACGCGAAAGCGUGGGGAGCGAACGGG